UACAGGGGGAGCAACCGUUGUUCGGAAUUACUGGGCGUAAAGCGCGCGUAGGCGGCUUUGCAAGUCGGGUGUGAAAUCCCCAGGCUUAACCUGGGAACUGCAUUCGAGACUGCAUUGCUAGAGUAUGGGAGAGGGAAGUGGAAUUUCCGGUGUAGCGGUGAAAUGCGUAGAUAUCGGAAGGAACAUCAGUGGCGAAAGCGACUUCCUGGACCAAUACUGACGCUCAUGUGCGAAAGCGUGGGGAGCAAACAGG
rnacentral:rRNA from 1 species